rnacentral:tRNA from 1 species
AGUCUUAUAUUCAUUUAUGAUAUAAAAUUGCAAAUUUUAAGGUGUAAUAAUUACUAAGGCUU